CUGUUUCUGCAGGCCAUUCAAUUUCAGAAGUUUGGAAGUUGUAACCAAUAAGUAUAAGAUAACCCACAAAUACAGCAAGAACAGCCUGAGGACUGAAUUAAGUCCUCAGAAUGGGUUCGGUGGAUGCAAAGGAAAGACAACAAGACCCUUAUCGGUGAGUAAUCAAAUCUGACUUCUUUUGAUACACAAUUGCAUUGGAGAGUUGGCCUUGAGUAGCUGAGAAGGCACUCUAUUAAUGGGGAAUGUUGUUGAACUCAAAUAAUUAGCAAACUUCCCUAAAAGUGAUAAGAACUGCAGAUUGAAACCUUAAAGAGCUGGCCGCAGUUAAGAAAAAUAAUCCCGUAGUACCGUAAUGUACGUAAAAGAACACAAAACCAGACAUAUACCUUCACUUCGGUCUGCAAAACCGCAAAUAAUGCAUGCACAAAUCCAAGGCCUUCCAGCACGGGAUGCCUUUGCACCACCGUUAAGUUCCCCGUUGUGCUGCUUC
rnacentral:lncRNA from 1 species